ACCUCGCUCUGAGCUCAAAGUAAUUCUUGCUGAAGAAGCCCAUUCAGAAUCUGACACGGUCUGCUGGAUUUGCUGGGGAGCCAAAGGAUGGAUACUCUCCCGAAAGUGCUUUUAGGCACUCUGUUGUGGCGAUUGGCUUGUGUGAGAAGCCAAGAUAUGCAACAGAGUCCUCAGUCCUUGAUCACUCAAGAGGGUGGAGAGGUUACCAUCGAGUGUAAAUCCUCACAGCCUUUAUAUGCCUUGCACUGGUACUGGCAGAAGCAUGGUGAAGGUCCCAUCUUCUUGAUGAUAUUAAGAAAACGUGGAGAAGAGAGUCAUGACAAAAUAACCGCCACAUUGGAUGAAAAAAAGCAGCACAGCUCCCUGUACAUCACAGCUUCCCAGCCCAGUCACUCAGGCACCUACUUCUGUGCAGGAGCAGCACAGUGACGCUCAGGCCUCCGGAGGCUGUGCUCAAACCUGAAGCUGGGCCACAGAUGCUUUCUUAGCACAGGGCACCCUUGGGGCACUUACCAGAAGGCUCACCUAUGAAAAAAGAGAAAUCUGAGGGAAAUUCAAUUGCUUUAAUAUAAAAUGCAAAAAGUGGACCAUCUUUUAAGUUCAUAUCUAAUUUAACUUGUUUUUUAUAAUUAUAUAAUUGCUGGGUAGGUACUUAUGUAAUUAAAUCAAAUAAUUUCAGUUUCAAAUACCAAAGUGAAUUACGAUAUGACUUAAGCUACAUAUGUGAACUACUUUUGUGGAUGUAUUCCUGUCUAAAAUUGAAAAUAACUUCUAUUUUUUCUGCUAGGUAUCCGUAGUUUAUGGUUAGGGAGCUAAUGAAAAGAAAUCAACAACAAUAAAAAUAA